rnacentral:rRNA from 1 species
GACAGACCAUGGAAAGGAUCGCCGACUCCAUGUGACGAUAUUGACCACCAGCGCUUCUCCAGCUGCACUUCCCUGCAAUUGGGGGAUGGCAGCGUUGCUGUUUUUUGGAAGGAUCGCUGGCUCAAUGGUGAGACCCCUAACCAACUGUCCCCCGACAUUUUCAAGCUUGCCAGAUUCAAAUCUCUGACAGUCAGAGAGGCUUUGUGCAAUGGGCGGUGGAUGCAAGGGUUGCAAAGAAUGGACAACAAUGAUCAACUCUGUGAAUUUGUCAGUUUGUGGGAAAAAUUACAGUUGAUUACUCUCUCGGCUCAUCGAGACAAAAUCAAAUGGACAAUCACUACAAAUGGACGUUACUCGGCCUGCUCUGCUUAUGAGAUCCAGUUCGCUGCACGGAUUGAGUAGCCUGGGAUUGCACGGGUGUGGAGAACAAAGCUCGAGGGCAAGGUUCGGUUCUACAUCUGGCUGUUGCUGCAGAACCGAAAUUGGACCGCCAACAGGCUGCAGGCUAGAGGAUGGCCACACAAUGCCUGUUGUCGGUUGUGUGACCAGGAGCCAGAAACUGCGGAGCAUAUCACGCUGCGAUGCAGCUAUCCAAGAGAGGUUUGGUACCUAGCCCAGGGCACAAGUGACAGGAUUUACAAUGUGGUACACUCUGCAAUUUCAGUUUCAGAUUGGUGGAAGAGACUCUAUUUGCAUCGCGGUGCGCAAUCCAAGGUUGCCGAGGAAACAUCCCUCUCAGCAUACAUUGCUUGGCAUCUUUGGAAGGAACGGAACAGAAGGGUUUUUGAAAAUGCUAAGAUGACGCCAAGAGCCUUGGUGAAUCUCAUUCAAGAAGAUUUCAAGAUGCUCAACGAGGCCUUCCGUCCUUCCAUUCAGGUGGCUGGGUAG